rnacentral:rRNA from 1 species
AUUGAACGCUGGCGGCAGGCCUAACACAUGCAAGUCGAGCGGAUGAAGAGAGCUUGCUCUCUGAUUUAGCGGCGGACGGGUGAGUAAUGCCUAGGAAUCUGCCUGGUAGUGGGGGAUAACGUUCCGAAAGGAACGCUAAUACCGCAUACGUCCUACGGGAGAAAGCAGGGGACCUUCGGGCCUUGCGCUAUCAGAUGAGCCUAGGUCGGAUUAGCUAGUUGGUGAGGUAAUGGCUCACCAAGGCUACGAUCCGUAACUGGUCUGAGAGGAUGAUCAGUCACACUGGAACUGAGACACGGUCCAGACUCCUACGGGAGGCAGCAGUGGGGAAUAUUGGACAAUGGGCGAAAGCCUGAUCCAGCCAUGCCGCGUGUGUGAAGAAGGUCUUCGGAUUGUAAAGCACUUUAAGUUGGGGGGAAGGGCAGUAAGUUAAUACCUUGCUGUUUUGACGUUACCGACAGAAUAAGCACCGGCUAACUUCGUGCCAGCAGCCGCCGUAACAC